UGGCUCAGCAGAAGGGGACUCAGUUGAUGGUCCCUCGGAUUCAGGUUUCCUAGACUCAUGUUCCUCAGACUCAGGUUGAUCUAAAUCAUGCUCUUCAGAUACAACAUUUUCAGAAUCUUGUUGCUCAAAGGCCGAUUGUUCAGAAGUUGUAUGCUUGAAUGUUGUUGGCUCCGUGUCACUUUCUUCACUCUCCUCCACCUCAACUGGUAGGGGUGGUGGAGUAUUUUUAGAGCUUUGCUUCUUCUUUUGCUUCCUGAGCAGAGGCUCUUCCUCUUCAUAAUCAGACUCUUCAUUGAAGAGUCUCCGAGAUGCACUUCCCUUGGUCACUUUCUUUGUGGAUUAUGAGUUAUUUCCUUUUGGUGCCAUUUCAAAACCUGUAGCAAGAGAAAAACCAUUAUUUAACCCUCGAGAGUACAAACACAAACACAUCGAUCAUUUUAAUUCCAAACC
rnacentral:lncRNA from 1 species